rnacentral:rRNA from 1 species
GAUGAACGUUGGCGGCGUGCCUAAUACAUGCAAGUCGAACGAAGACUGUAGUAAUACUGUCUUAGUGGCGAACGGGUGAGUAACGCGUGGGUGACCUGCCCCGAAGUGUGGGAUAACAGUCCGAAAGGAUUGCUAAUACUGCAUAAUAUCCAAGAGAUUAGAUGCUUUUUGGAUUAAAGGAGUAAUUCGCUUCGGGAGGGGCCCGCGUCCCAUCAGCUAGUUGGUAAGGUAAUGGCUUACCAAGGCGAUGACGGGUAGGGGACCUGAGAGGGUGGCCCCCCAAAUGGAACUGAAACACGGUCCAUACACCUACGGGUGCAGCAGUAGGGAAUAUUAGUAAUGGGCGAAAGCCUGAACUAGCAACGCCGCGUGUGCGAAGAAGGCCUUCGGGUCGUAAAGCACUUUUUGAGAGGAUGAGGAAGGACGGUACUCUCAGAAUAAGUCUCGGCUAACUACGUG